GACGUAGGGGGCCAGCGUUGUUCGGAAUUACUGGGUGUAAAGGGUUCGUAGGCGGUGUGGCAAGUCGGGAGUGAAAUCUCUGGGCUCAACCCAGAGUCUGCUUCCGAAACUGCUGUGCUUGAGUGUGGGAGAGGCGCGUGGAAUUGCAGGUGUAGCGGUGAAAUGCGUAGAUAUCAGGAGGAACACCGGUGGCGAAGGCGGGUCUCUGGGCCGAUACUGACGCUGAGGAGCGAAAGCAUGGGUAGCGAACAGG
rnacentral:rRNA from 1 species